rnacentral:piRNA from 1 species
UCUUCUUGCUGACAAACACAUUUUACCC